GGGAGUCAGCAGUUUGAUGUGGGGACAGAUUAUUUCCAGGUGGCGGGAAUGGCAAAUGCAAAGGUCCGGGGGCAGGAACAGGCCUGGCAGCCUGAGAACGGAAAGAUAGUGGGCGUGGCUGGAGGGAGGGAGGGAGGGGAGCCCCGGCCACAGGGCCGCAGAGAGGAGUUUGGGUUUGAUUUCAAACACAUACCUCACACUCAGCCAGCAUGGAGAGACCCAAGAAGCAGCUCUGGGAUAAGUCAGCACUUGGACAGAACAUCUGCUCUUCACGCCCCUGACUCUUUCAGCCGCAGCAUGUUCAGGGAGCCCCGCGACCAGGAGGGAGAUGCUCUUUCCUUUCCCUCAGGCGCUUCUCUGAAGGAUGGAAAAAUCGAUGCCCACAGAAGAGCGGGUGCAGGAAAGGUACGGACAGCAGCGCUGGGAAGAAGACCGAGGGCAGGGGGAAGUCAGGCGCCGGGGAUCCCAGUGGCUGGGGUUCUGCUCCCCAUCUCCUGGAACAGACUCGGAGGUGGGCGUGGUGUGGUCUUGUUUUGUAAUAUUUUGUUCUGAUGACAAAAGCUACCCAUAUUCGCUGUAGGAAAUAAAAAUCACCCAGUCCCUCCCCGGAGGUAACUUCCCUGUUAACGCACAUAGUAAAUCCUUCCAGCCUUUUUUCUCUGCACAUUGAAAGCACGUUUUAUUUUUUGCAAAACUAGGCUGUGCUCAACUGCUUUUUUUUUUUCACCAGCACGCUCCUGUGUCCUUGUGGGGUGUGACUUCCUCAUGUCUGAUGGCUGUGCCAGGAGUGGUCUCGUCCAAUGGUGGAGGCACUGCUCAGGGCUUGGGGUCAGAAUCUUGGCCCGUUGGCCGUGUGACCUCAGUUAGGUGGCCUACACCCUCUGACCGGACCUUGGUCCUCCUCUGUGUGGCAAGCCUGCUGAUGCCUGCUAAGGGUCACACAAGAGAAGAAGCAAGAUGCACUCGUCCCACGCGAGCAUGUGGAGAGCAUUCCAUCAGCUGGGGGUAGUGCUAUUUUUUUGUCUUCAUCAUUACACAGCCAGUCCAUCAUGACUUAGCCAGUCCUCUGACAUUGAACAUGGUGGUUGUUGAUCCAACCUUCCUUGAAAAAGAGGCUCCCACGGAUAUCCCUGCCAAGAAAUCUUUGACAAAUCCGCAGUUAUAAAUUCUGAGUAAUUUCUUUUUCUUUUUCUUUCUUUUAAUUUUAAAAGAUUUUAUUUAUUUAUUUGAGAGAGUGAGAGAGAGAGCAUGAGAGGGGAGAGGGUCAGAGGGAGAAGCAGACUCCCUGCUGAGCAGGGAGCCCCAUGCAGGACUCAAUCCUGGGACUCCGGGAUCAUGACCUGAGCCGAAGGCAGUUGCUUAACCAACUGAGCCACCCAGGUGUCCCUAAUUCUGAGUAAUUUCUAGGAGCAAGAUUAUAUACGUUUUAGAGCCCGUGUUCUACAUUCGCUCCACUGCCCUCUGGAAACCUUUUGGUGACACUCUUGUAUGAGUUUCCUAGGGUAACAAAUGACCACAACCUUGGUAAGCUUAAAAUCCCAGAUGUGUAUUCGGUCAUAGUUCUGGAGCCUCGAAGUUCAAAAUCCAGUGUCUAAGGCAGGGCCACCUUCCUGCUGAGGACUCCAGGGGAGGGUUCUUCCUGCCCCUUCCAGCUUGUGUCAGCGGUCUGUGCCCCUGACGUGGGGCCUCUUCCCCUCCAGCCUCUGCCUCUGGCCUCCUCCCCCUGUGUGUCUCUCACAAGGACACUAUCCCAUAAUCCCGCAUGAUCUCCUCAGCCCAAGAUCCUUAGUUUAAUUACCUUGGCAAAGAUCCUUUUUCCAAGUAAGAUAACAUUUCCGGUACUGGGGAUUGGGACACGAUCAUAUCUUUUGGGAGGCUACCAUUUAACCAACUACACGUUCCUACUGAGGUACGAAAAGUUGUGUAGAAUUCUCUUUCCCCUCACCACACAGGACAUUCCCAUCUUUUUGAAAUGUUUGGCCAAUUUAGAGGGUAAAGCAGAACAAAACCCUUAUUUUAAAAUGCCUUCUUUUGCUAUUAAUGAAGAGGAAGCUGUAUUCAGAGGCUUUUGCUGGUCAUUUCUAUUUCUUAUUCUUUCUUUCUUUCUUUUUUAAGAUUUUAUUUAUUUCUUUGACAGAGAGGGAACACAAGUAGGGGGAAUGGGAGAGGGAGAAGCAGGCUUCCCGCUGAGCAGGGAGCCCAAUGUGGGGCUCGAUCCCAGGACCCUGAGAUCAUGACCUGACCUGAAGGCAGAUACCUAACGACUGAGCCACCCAGGCACCCCUGUAUUUUUUAUUUUCUUACUGAUUCAGGACCUUUGCCCAAUUCCCUAUCAGGUAUUAGUGAUGAAAGAAAACAUUUGCCAACUUAAGCCGUCUUUCAGCUAAACUAUCUUCCCGGACUAAGAGCGAUAUAAGACAGUUCAAAGACUGAGAAACUACCACUCACAGAGCUUUGCUCAAAGAACCAAUGAAAGAUGGUGAAAGGAAUACAGAAACCAAGCCCUGUAUCAAGUAUGUAAUGAGCCACGAGCAAAGAUAUGAAAAUGUGGGUAAAAUCUAAGUAAGACAUGGCCAUUAAAAUUGGUAAUAAUAAUAAUGACGAAUGGAGGCUCAAAACACGAUCAAAGCAAAAUAUGGACAUUCAUACCUGCUGACUGGGAGGUAUGGCUGGAGUUCAAUCACUCUGAGACCUUCACUGUCUAGGACGAGGGUGGGGAGUACUCAAUUAGAUCAUGUUCAGUCAGUUAAACACGCUAGAAAUUUAAAGAUAACCUCUAACAGUCAGAAAUGGAAUGUGUAACUUUCAAACCAACAGAGGGAAAAGGGGAAGAAAGAAAACAGUGUCGGUCUAAUAGAAGGCAAAAAAAAAAAGAGGAGGGAGGGGAGAACACUGUUGAUUUUUGUGUUUUUGUAGGAUUAUACGUUACUAUUUAAUAGUUUUUAUCUGCUCCCCUUGGGUUUUCAAGUAGUCAGUUACAUGCUCUACAAAUCAGGAUGAUUUUGUCUCCUUUUCAGUUGCUGUUCUUUAAUUUGUGUUUCUUGUCUUAUUGCAUUGUCUGAAAGUUUCAGAGCCAUGGAAAAUUACAGAGGCAUCACUCAGCAUCCUGGUCUUAUUUUGGACAUGACUAAGAAUGUUCCUGGUGCUUCACCACUAGCUGUGAUGUGGGCUCUUGGCUUGAGACAGAUCUUUUUUGUCAUUGAAUCAGUCAGGAUAAGUGAGAUUCCGCUGCAGAAACCAAUAAUGUCACGAUCCCACGGCUUGAGAAGGGUUUAUUUCUUGUCCAUAUUAAGUCCGAGGUGGGUCCAGGCCACUCUGUCUCAGUUACAGCUGUGACUGGCUCAGCAUCGCAUCCCCACAGCAUCAAAUGCCCACAUCCUUGCUGCAGCAAGAGAAAGAGACUUGGAGAGUCUUGUAUGAGCAAGGAAGUGCUUCUACCUAGGAACAACACAGAUGACCUCAGCACGUGGCCCUGCCUGAGCCCACUGGGAAGUAUAGUCCCAGCCUGGGAAACCUCGUAGAUGUCACCACAAGCACGUUAAGCAAGCAUCCUUUCAUUGCUGACUUCAUCCCUGGGACCCUGAAAGUCCACCCGAAUGUCACUGGGUCUUGGCCGUUUGACGAGUAGCACCAGGGGCUAGUACAAAGGUGAAGUCGUGCAUUCACGGGCUCUGACAAUGCAUGUUUCCGUUGGAGCCUGGCUGCACGUGUGACCCUUCAAUUCUGCCAAAGUCUCUGACCCCUCAUACCCGAGCUCCCCUUUGCCUGAGCUCCUUUGAGUGGAUUUCAAUUUCUUAUGACCCCCCACGAUGUCACCCGGGAUUAUUUGCUGCUGUUUUCUUUGGAGUUUCUAUCAUAUUCCUAAGCAAGACUGUUCUGUAGUUGUCUGCCAACACUUUGUGUUAGGGUUAUUCCACAUUCUUAAGAUGGCUGGGGAAGGUUUCUGUCUUUCCUGCGUCCCAGAAUGGAAUAUCUGAAAUAUGUGAAUAGUUGUUAGUAAAAGUGUUGGGACCCCACACUCCUCUAGGAAGUAGCUCUUUCCCUACCUUUUCAAUUUACUCUGUAGUAAUAGAUUUUGUGGUUUUCCUCUACUUGUUGAAUUGCUUUGGGUUAUACAUAUUUUCCGAUAAAACUAUCUGCUUAUUCAUAUUUUCAAAUUUAUUAUCAUAAGGCUUCACUUAAUGUAAUUUGAUUUUUAAAAUAUUUUUGUUCCUAUUGUACAUUCAUUUCUCUCUGCUUAUUAUCUUUGGAUCUGCCAGAAGUUCACCUAAUUUAUUAGACUUUCCAAAAGAACAUGUCAUAGAUUUUUUUUUUAUUUAUCUUUUAUUUCUGGUGGGUUUUUUUUUCCCUCUUCUCUAAUUUAUGAAACUCUGCUUUUUAUUUUUCUCACCUUCCACCCUUUCUUAUUUAAGAAAAUUCACAAUACGGAGCUAUGAAUUUUCCUCCUUAAAACAUUUUAACCACCUUCUCACAUGUUUAGAUAUGUGAUAUUUGCAGUGCUAUUUUUUUAAGUAGUUGGUCGUGUAGGUUGCGUUUAGAGUUAUUUACAAAAGUCGUGUUUAAUAUUCAAAUGGUUGGCUUUUUAAUUUAAACUUGUGUUAAUAAUUUCUAGCUUAAUUGCAUGGCAGUCAAACAAUGAGGCUUUCGCUAUAUCUGCUUUGGGGAUUCUAUUGAAGUUUCCUUUAUGGCCUAAUAUAUGAUCAAUUUUCAUAAAUGUUUGAUGGGCUCUGGCACACAAAUGAGUAUCUUUUAUUUGUAAGGUACAAAGUUCAGUUAUUAAAUCAACCUUAUUAAUUCUAUUCUUCCAAUCCCGCAGAAAUGUGUUGGGGGGGGAUACGAUUUAAAGCUGUCAAAGACAGAAGUGUGUUAAGUCUCAUCUGGAG
ensembl:lincRNA